AUGUUUGUUUCGGCACGCAUCAGAAGUGCUUUCUUUGGUGUGGUGAAGUUUGUUCCCCCUCCAGAGAUCUUCACAGAGACACCCUUCCCGUGUAUGCCGUGCUCAAAGUUCUUGACCACAUGAAUGCCUGAAUCACCAACAAGGAAGCUGUUGUCAAGAGCGCCCAGCGCAAGGCUCUGUAUGCUACCAUCACCCUCCUCCACAGGCUCCUCAAAUUCCCUGAAAUCCUCCAUCAGAGGUCUCAGCAUCGGACUCCGUGCAGGCAUCGGGCUGCCCUUGGGGCCUGGCGAGAAAGCAUCACUUGCGUCCUCCCAGAUGGACUCAUCGCCACACUCUGGGCGCGCCCACGCAGCAAACUCCUUUCCAAACACCUUGGCGCGGCCCUCGUCGGUGGCCUCGACGCCGUAG
rnacentral:rRNA from 1 species